AUCUGUGCCUGGUAUGACUUCGAAAGGUCGAGAGCCAGUAUUUUUCUUCUUCGACAUCGAAGCCGCGAACAGUUCAGUUGGUGCUGACAUAAUUCAAUUUGGGUUACGUGCGAUCCAAGUGUCCAUUUGAUGGCAGAGUUUAGUGCAUUUGUGAAAACAAAGCAGAAAUUAUCAUCAUUCAGUAAUUUAAUCUUUUUUAAUGUUGAAAAAAUUAUCUUUAUGUCGAAAUCUUUGCACAAUUCUUUGCAUACGCUUCAUCUUUCUUUGCCCUUUCCAGCCAUCAAACACCAGAUCCUUUUCCUCUUGUUUUCAAGAGGAUGAUGAAAUGGGUGACCAAUAGGACUUUGGCAGCAAGCAGGAAAAGUAGAAAAAAGGGAAAACAACAGAAAAUGUUUUACCCAGUUUUGCUUGCUCAUGGUGGCAAUCGGUCGGACUUUCCGAUGUUGGUGGACAACAUCUCUCGCCACAAAGCCUCAUCCGGCUAUUUGUACCCGAGACUUCGUGUGGGGGACACAUACCAACUUUGUGUAAAGCUUCAAGAAAACGGUUUGCCAAUAUUUGACAAACAAACGAAAUUAGGAAUGGAAGGUUUGCACAAAUUAUUCUUCCCUGGUGAAGACUUUAAAGAUCGUCACAGUGCUUUGGGAGAUGCCAGGUUGAUGAGGCAAAUUUUCGGGGGGCCGCUUCGCAACCACCUGGAAGAAAUCGAAACAAAGACGUUGUCUUCCUUUGUGGGUUUGCAAAAAAAGAAAAAGAAAAAAAAAGAAAGAAACCAAACCAUUGGCGAAGGUUGGCAUUGAAUUCGAGCAUUAACUCAGUAUUCGCUAUGCAAUUUGACGUAACCGCCUAUUUGGAAAGUUGAUUGAUGAAAAUUGACUUGAUUAUCAAUUACUGCAUCAUGGCAGAGUCGGUCGCAUGCAACUUUAUAAACACUCCCGUAUAUGAAGCAAUAGCUUCCUGGAUAGAAACGGCCUCUCUACCGAUUGUUUUGUUGGCCAAAGGAGUGGGAAAGACAACCACGCUAAUCAUGUUACAUGAAUCAUGCAAAAGACCGAAACAUUAUUUUGACCUUUCAAGUGAUCACGACGUGGUGCGCUUGUCUGAAAAAUUGAAGACUAUAUCGCCAUUAUCGGGUAAUGAAGAGAAAGAAUAUCCAGUUUGGUUGUUUGUUGACAACAUACACGAAAUGGUGAACUACACAUGCUUAAACGACCUGAUCCGUAUGUACGUCAAGGGCUGGACACAGUACCGUAAUCGGGGGCGUCUUGUCUGUGCAGUGUCCAGAUAUGGACUUGUGGGUUUGCUGAAAAAGUUCCGUAUAAACUACUCCGACCUCAAUACACAAGUGGUGAAUCCGACUGAGGAGGUUGCAUGGUCGUUACUGAGACGGGUAUGUUGUGGAACAAAUGUCUAGUGAUGCUUGAUUGCUGAUGCAGUUGAUUCUAGGUGUAUCAGCAAUGCUGCUUUUAACUAAUAUUCCGUUUGAACUCUUUUAGUCCUACAACGAAAUGAUCUCCGACCCCGCAAACGAGCCUAAGAUAAGAGAGUUUUUGGAGUACGUUGGGUUUGUUCCCCGUUUGGUUGAGUCAUUAAUACAAGAAUGUAGAGUACAAAAAA